rnacentral:rRNA from 1 species
UACAGAGGGUGCGAACGUUGCUCGGAAUUACUGGGCGUAAAGCGCGUGUAGGCGGAGCGAUAAGUCGGGAGUGAAAUCCCCGGGCUCAACCCGGGAACUGCUUUCGAAACUGUCGUUCUCGAGUACCGGAGAGGGUGGCGGAAUUCCUGGUGUAGAGGUGAAAUUCGCAGAUAUCAGGAGGAACACCGGUGGCGAAGGCGGGUCUCUGGGCCGAUACUGACGCUGAGGAGCGAAAGCGUGGGGAGCGAACAGG